AAUGAACGCUGGCGGCAUGCCUAACACAUGCAAGUCGAACGAAGGCUUCGGCCUUAGUGGCGCACGGGUGCGUAACGCGUGGGAAUCUGCCCCUGGGUUCGGAAUAACAGCUAGAAAUGGCUGCUAAUACCGGAUGAUGACGUAAGUCCAAAGAUUUAUCGCCCAGGGAUGAGCCCGCGUAGGAUUAGCUAGUUGGUGGG
rnacentral:rRNA from 1 species